CACGUAGGAGGCGAGCGUUGUCCGGAAUCAUUGGGCGUAAAGAGCGCGCAGGCGGCUUGGCAAGUCGGGUGUGAAAUCCCGGGGCUCAACCCCGGGACUGCAUUCGAUACUGUCAGGCUAGAGGUAGGUAGGGGAGAUCGGAAUUCCUGGUGUAGCGGUGAAAUGCGCAGAUAUCAGGAGGGACACCGAUGGCGAAGGCAGCUCGCUGGGACGGUACUGACGCUGAGGCGCGAAAGCGUGGGGAGCGAACAGG
rnacentral:rRNA from 1 species